AGUGAAUAGAUACCCAGGUAGUCCACGCCGUAAACGAUGAGUGCUAAGUGUUAGGGGGUUUCCGCCCCUUAGUGCUGCAGCUAAACGCAUUAAGCACUCCGCCUGGGGAGUACGGUCGCAAGACUGAAACUCAAAGGAAUUGACGGGGGCCCGCACAAGCGGUGGAGCAUGUGGUUUAAUUCGAAGCAACGCGAAGAACCUUACCAGGUCUUGACAUCCCGUUGACCACUGUAGAGAUAUGGUUUUCCCUUCGGGGACAACGGUGACAGGUGGUGCAUGGUUGUCGUCAGCUCGUGUCGUGAGAUGUUGGGUUAAGUCCCGCAACGAGCGCAACCCUUGAUCUUAGUUGCCAUCAUUUAGUUGGGCACUCUAAGGUGACUGCCGGUGACAAACCGGAGGAAGGUGGGGAUGACGUCAAAUCAUCAUGCCCCUUAUGACCUGGGCUACACACGUGCUACAAUGGACGAUACAAACGGUUGCCAACUCGCGAGAGGGAGCUAAUCCGAUAAAGUCGUUCUCAGUUCGGAUUGUAGGCUGCAAC
rnacentral:rRNA from 1 species